CCUGGUUGAUUCUGCUAGUAGCAAAUGUUUACCUCAAAGAUUAAUCCAUGCACGUGGAAGUACACACGGCUGGUACUGUGAAACUGCAAAUGGUUCAUUAAAUCAGUUAUGGUUCGUUUGAUCGCUCCAUCUGUUACUUGGAUAACUGUGGUAAUUCUAGAGCUUAUACAUACCCACGAGUGCUGACCUCCCGGGAUGCAUGCAUUUAUCAGACCAAGACCAAUCCGGGCUCGCCCGGCCACUUGGUGACUCCAGAUAGCCUCUGGUCGAUCACAAGUCCCCUUGACAGUGACGAUGCAUUUGGGAUGUCUGCCCAACCAACUUUCAAUGGUACUUUCUGUGCUUACUAUGGUGACCACGGGUAACGGGGAAUCAUGGUUCGAUUCCCGAGUAGGAGCCUGAGAAACGGCUACCACAUCCAAGGAAAGCAGCAGGUGUGCAAAUUACCCACUCCUGAUUCAUACAUAAUACAGGACACUUUUGAGGCCCGGUAAUUUGAAAUUAGUACACUUUAAAUCCUUCAAUGAGGAUCCAAUGGAGGGCAAGUCUGGUGCCAGCAACCACAGUAAUUCCUGCUCCAAUAGCGUAUAUUAAAGUUGCUGCAGUUAAAAUGCUUGUAGUUGGAUUUUGGGAUUGAGCUGGUGGUGUGCAGUGAGGCGAGCUACCGCCUGUCCCAGCACCUACCAUUUGGCACCCCCUUGAUGCUCAACUGAGUGUCCAGGGGGCACGAAGCGUUUACUUUAAAAUAAAUACAGUGCUCAAAGCAGACCGGUCGGCUGAAUACUUCAGCUAGGAAGAAUGGAAUAGGACUCCGGUAGGUGAAAUUCUUGGACCUGCGUAAGACGAAGCAAAGCGAAAGCAUUUGCCAAGAACGUUUUCAUUAAUCAGGAACAAAAGUCAGAGGUUCGAAGACGAUCGAUAGCGUCGUAGUUCUGACCACAAACAAUGUCGACUAAUGAUCCAACAGCGUUAUUCCUAUGACCUGCUGAGCAGCUUCCAGGAAACCAAAGUAUUUGGGUUCGAGCGGGAGUAUGGUUGCAAAGCUGAAACUUUAAGGAAUUGAUGGAAGGGCACCACCAGGAGAGGAGCCUGUGGCGUAAUUUGUUAGUUGGUGGAGCGAUUUGUCUCGUUAAUUCGGAUAAUGAACGAGACUCCUCCAUGCUAACUAGUUACGCAACCCCCAGCGGUCAGCGUUCAACUUCUUAGAGGCACAAGUUGCGUUCAGCCACAUGAUAGUGAGCAAUAACAGUUCUGGGAUGCCCUUAGCUGUCUGGGGCUGCACGUGCGCUAAGCUGAACGGAUCAGCGUGUGUCUACCCUUUGCUUCAAGUGUGGGUAACCCACUGAACCCCGUUUGUGAUAGGGACUGGGAGUGCAAUCAUUUCCCAUGAACAAGGAAUUCCCAGUAAGUGUGUGUCAUAAGCUUGCGUUGAUCAAGUCCCUGCUCUUUGUACUCACUGGUUUAGUGAGGUCCCUGGAUCGGCCCCGCCGGGGUCGGCAAAGGCUCAGGCAGAGCACCAAGAAGACGAUCAAAUUUUACUAUCUCGAGGAAGUAAAAGUUGCAGCAAGGUUUGCGUAGGUGAACUUGCAGAAG
rnacentral:rRNA from 1 species